CAAAAUAAACAGCUUUGCAAGCUAUGAGACAAACCCCAUAAACACCAAAUCAACCCUCAGACAAGUCUCACUCAAUUCAAAUUCAAAUUUUGAAUCCUCCCCUCAAACCUCUCACUCUCUCUCUCUACGAAUUCAUUCAUUCUCUCCUCAUCCUCUUUUCCGCUCUCCUCUUCCUCUAUUCCAAUCGCAAACCGCUACCAGGCCGAUUUUACUUACGACCAAACACAUGAAGGAGAAAGGUUGAAGAAGAAGGUUCUGAGAAUCAAGAGAUGAAGUCAAUGAUAAUAUGAGGUUGUAUGUUUCAAUCAUCUUCUGACUUUUUCCUUUGAUUUAUCCUUUUGUUGAGAUACAAACUUGGACAACUUUGGUUUCAGUUUUGUGUUUAAUUUUCUUUAUUGUGAAUGAUUUUUGUUGGAGGAAAUAGUUCGAAAGGAUCUCCUAGGAGGAGGCAUGUUCCUUCAUAUGAAUCUCCAAGGUCUUUAUCUUCAUCGGAUAACAAUUAUGAGGUCAUAAAAAACAGAGCCCAUAUCAAGCAUAAUCACAUCCUCAGCGGUGGCCAUAUCAAACACCUCACCACCAAAAGUGAUGGUUGGGGUCUAAUUUUGUUUAUUAGGGAUGUAAUUGGUGCUUUCUAUUCCUUAUUGAGGCUUACUUACAAAGAUUAUGUAGUUUUUUUGCACAUCGUUGCACUAAUUGUGCUUAGUGUCUUUUAAUCCAUAUUUUACCUUUUCAAAAAAGAAAAAAGAAAAAAGAAGAGAUCAGAUAGGAAUAAUCAAUUAAGAAAGAAGAUGAUAGAUAUGAAUAAUCAAUUACUAUGAAAAAGAUGAAAAGUUCAAGAAAUGCAUCGAUAGACACUUAUGAGUAAAGGCAAAUAGAAACUUUCAUGAACUACAAAAAUAUUAGGACAUGAAUGAUCUUCAUUGUCUUUCAUCCAAGGGCGGUUGUAAGGCUAGAAAGUAGCUUACGAAAUAUGUUAUCUGCCAAAACCGUUCCUAAGAAGCUUGCAAAAUAUGCAUGUACACAAAGUUGUUGAAUUGAAGAGGACUUACCAAAUCAUCAAGUGGGGAAUUUUAUGAGUCGCAUGAGUUUGCAACUAGAGUUUUGCAAAAGUGGAUGGAAGUUCUAUUCACCUUUUAUUAAGGAUAAGUUACUUUGAAUUACUGUGAUGUGUUCUUAAAAACACGGUAUUAGUCCAGUAAUAUAGUUACAACAAGUCUAUGUAUAGAUUAUGAGUAAUUUUUAAUUUAAUUUUUUAAACCAAAAUUGUAUUGUUCUUAUUCAUAAUUGUAUAAUUGAUUUUGUGUUUCAUAUCACUGUAAAUUUAUAAGUCGCUUCUUC